CUGCUGCUGCUGCCGUUGCUGCUGGGAGCCGGUAGCUGAGCCAUCUGUCGCCUCCAGGCCGCGGAAAUUCUGUUGCACAAAAGAAGAGGGGAGAAGAAUAGAUGUGAGCUUUCUGCAUUCCUGGAGCACUGGAGCGAGACCAGCGGGGCCAAGUCAGGCUGAAAGGAGGUUUUAGAGCUGCAGCUGAACAGCCACAUCAGACUGGAGAGAUUUGCUCCAGCAUGCAUGAAGAAGUCGCUUUUUAUCUCCCAAGAAAAGUAGUAAAUUGCAACAUCAUCCAGUCAUUAACUCCUCAUCCAGUUCCAGGAAAGGUGUCAGAAAGUCGGAGGGCAUGAUUCGCUCCAACCGUCCUCGCAGAGCUGAAGGAGCCGGACGUCUGAUCCCACAGUGGAGGAAAGUUUCUGGGCUCCGGGGAGAGAAGUCGGAGAGAGAUUUCAGUUUGUCGUGGAGAAGCUUUUUUUAUUUUUUUUUGUUCCAGCCAGGGGAAGGGGGAGAUAAAGAUGAAGGCAGUGAAGGACACGGAGAGUUGGGAGGAAGAGCAGUGUGUCCCCGGGAGGAAAGUUUCCCGACCAUCUGCUGGAAUCUGCUUAAAUAGUUGGGGAAACCCACCCAUACGCCCCUAACCCCCCCUCCUUCCCCUGCCUGUUUGCUUCAGGGGGCAGGCCAGGGAGGGGAGUGUGUGUUAAUGUGCGUUAAUGUGUGUGUGCGAGUGUGUGUGUUGGGGGGUUGGGGUCUUGCAUUGUAAUGGUGUGCUGGGGGGCAGGGUGGGUGCAGAAAGAAGAGGAGGGAGCUGCUGAAUGAAGCUACUUUUCUACCCAUUCAUUACCAAAUCCUUAAAGGAGCAUUCUUCAUUCUUUUAACAGGCCGUCCUCUCACUUUGUUCAGGAGCGCUGCAGCUAAGGAGUUAAUGGCAUGUGGUGCAAACAGCAAAUGCAUUUAUUGUCGUUGAAGUAGUUAAAAUACUGGUUGAAAAUAUUUAAAAAUGUGUUUGCAUUCAAGCCAGGCUGCAGCAGCUGAGCUGAAAUGAGGAAAUGAUAGACUCAAAGAACCUUGUCUGCUUUUAUUUUUGUCUUUUAAUAGUUGGCGUUUUAUGACAUUACAGCAGACUUUAAACAUAACAUCUUCAUCGUGACGUUGAUGGGAAACUUGUCAUGUUUCUGCAGUAAAUUGAGCUUUUGAACAGAUUUGGAGAAGCUCUCCAGCUACAUCAGAAAAGACUUUACUGGCCGAGUGUGUGUGGGGACGUUAAGUCUUAGGUUUUUGGCAGCUUCUUCUGCUUCAUUUAGACCUGACAUCCUGAUAAUUAGAUACCAGUUGGUGUAAAAACACGAUAGCGACCGUUUCAGCAAAGUUGUGUUGCAGGCGACAAAACGUGAAAAACAUCGUCAGAUUUUACAGUUGAAACUUGUGUGUUUAUUAACUUCCCUAGUUUAAUAUGACACACAAAAUUCUAUAAAUAUUGUCUUUGCACAGUCAUGUUCAGUCAUGUUAUAAUUAGUUCCAUAUUUGUGACUUUAUUAUUAUAAUAUACAGUGAAAUAAUCCCAGUGUCCACAUAUGAGGAUAUUUUUUCCCCCAAAAAACUACUUCCUGUUCAAAGAUGAUGCUUAGUUUUUAUACUUCUUAGCUCCUACUAAUCCCAAAUACCUUGGAAUAAAUUAAAAGUGCAUAGCAAACUAAAGCUCGGCCCUCAAGAGGUUAAUAACAAACACUUGUAAACUUUGUAAGGAUGCGUUUCAGAUUCUUUACGUCUCCAGUUUUGAUGGUUUUAUAAACGCUUCAAACCUUCUUCUUCUUCUUCGUGUUCAUACUGAAAACAACACAACGCACCAUCAGUGACACAACGGUGUCUUGUUUAGCAGUUUGUGUCUGUGUCUCCUCCUAAAGUCUGAAGUGAAGUCGUCUGGAGUGUAAAGAUGUAUUAGACUGACAAUUGAGCCACACCCGGGUUUAGUUCUUCAAAGAGGUGUCAAAAGACGCCUUAGAGGCAGAAGGGACAUUAUUCACUGAACUGAAGCCAGGACAGGACGAACUAAAAGCCAAGAAAUGAAGAAGUGACCAGACCUGCUACUAUUACUCAACUUGUUGUUUUUAUGAAUCCGACCCGACGUUGUGUGUCAGUUAGACUUUAUAAUCGUGGCCUCACGUUUGUGAGAGAUAAGAAGCCAUCCUGACACGUGGGCCAGUGGAGAUCCAGCCACUCCUUCAUGCUCGUCAUCACGCUCCCUCAUUUCAAACUAGUUGAAAUGCAAAUUCGGGUGAUUACUGCGUCCUCAAAGCUCGGAAGAUGGAAAAGUACCAACCACUCACAGCAUCAGUGCAACACUUCCUGUUGGAGUGGGACGACGUGAAUAUAUCACACUUUUGCAUUUCAUUCAGUACGAGGCAGUUAUGAAAAGACUAUGCAAUGUUUUAUGUCUCUUGUGAAAAACAAAAACCCCAAAUCCUGUUUAGUUCUGAACCACAAAGCUGAACAUUAUCUCUAUUAAAUGGUCUCUACAUCCUAACAUGGUUCUGCCAUCAAUCUUCUUAUCAGUUAGAAGCUUUUGGGGUCCUGACCUGUGCUGCCACAGACUCAGCUUGUGAUUGUUGAUUUUCAUGCAUCAUAAAUUAGUCUUCGCUUUGUCCUGGAAGUUAAUUAAGGUGGCACAGUGCAGAAAUGGUACAGCUAACAGCAUCUAAACCAUAAAGAGUUUAAAUUGCAUCCUGAAGUUCAUUUUAUAAUCAUGUCUGAACACAUCGUUUCAGGAUUUUGAUCAUUGUUGCUGUGUGCAUGUAGUUUUUUGCUGUUUUAGGGACUGAAACAAUACAAUAAAUAAUCCGA